CUUUCGGAGCUGUGCGGCGCGCUGAGCAGGAAUGGCAAUGUGGACCUCUGAUGGAACAUCUGGUGGGAUCUCACAGUCAGUUCUGUGGCAAAGGAGGAUGAAGACUUAAAGAGGACUCAACAGGAAGCUGGAUAACAGAAAGAGAGCAAUGUAAGCAGUUUUUUGUGUGCAUGUGGUCCCAUUACAAGGAAUACUCAAUGGCAAGUGAGCACUAAAGAUCCCUCAACCCACACGUUGAAUGUAGAGUUCCCUGAAAGCAAUUGUAGAGGAGUGGGUGGGAGAUCUGAAGUCAGGGCAUUGCUUCUUCUAGGUAUCUGAGGAGGAUGGUUUUUGAUAUCUGUGGGAGCUAGUGGUCCAACACAGGGUUUAUAAUUGUCAUUUAGGUCACAUUUGGUGGACUCUGGUUCCCCCAUCUUAAGUGCUGAGUCAGCGGCCUAACAGGGCAGCUUUAACUGUUUGUUUGUUGUAGGUGCUAGAAUAGAAGACCAGAAAAUGAAAGAUAUGAAAAAAAGGUGGAGUUUAAGGCUGGAUAUACAGCUUGAAAAGUACAAAUGAUGGUUUGAAUAAAGAAAGGUAUGAACGCAUGGGUCACUUCAAGUGAAGGCACUGCAAACACAAUGAUCAGUCAUUCUGGAUUUCUGGUCCUUCUGAAUUUUAAAGGCUGCGGUGACAAGUGGACAUGCAGUGACUACCUUUUGUACCUUCCUGUUUCUGAGGUGCCUGGAUGGAGGUUCAAAUAGAAGAUAGUGUCAGAUAUACAUUGUGUUGUCAAAAUUUUACCAUUAAAGUGCAUUACAAC
ensembl:processed_transcript uncharacterized LOC110297540